ensembl:lncRNA
UCUCUGGAGGUCCCUGUGUAUCUUUGGCCUUCCAAUGUCGACAGAUGGUGUUUUUCUGCUGAUUCACAGCACUGAAGUGGUUACUGGAAAAAGGACCAUGGGUUUAAUAAGGAGCAGGCCCAUACACAAACAACAAAAGUGCACCAUACUCUACCAGUUCCAAAAGAAAAAGAAGCAGUUUUUUAUACCAAAUCACCAGAUCAUUUUCAUGCACGCAAUGCAUGUUCAAAGACUCCAGCAGGAAUGCUGUUGGUAAACCAGCUAUUUCGCACACAUCCACCAUGUUAAUUGCAGCUCCUUAAAAUAUUCUACCCUGGGUUAAAAGAAGGAGAGUCACACAUAGCACUUCUGAGGAAGGAUUCUGUCUUGGAAGGCUGGUUUAUCUUUUUUAUAAUUAAGAAUCAUCUCACUAAUGAAACUUCUCUUGGACUUCUCAGCAACACACACUAAAAAACAUAAAAUUGUAUCAAGGCUAUAGAAAACAAUUGCAAUCUGGAAACCAGAAAAACAAAAUAAAUGUUGCUAAAGAGUGAGAUGUUAAAGGACCCUAGAGCAGCUGAACUAUCACUUUUCUCCAAAAAAGCAUGAGAACUGUUUAUGAAAUUAAAUAGAGCUUCUGGAACUGCACAUUGAGCUAUGCUGAACAAGAAGAAAUCUCUGCUUAAUAGGCCUCAAGGAAAAAGAUCUAUUGUCAGUGUUUCUUUAGUACAGCUUUUGCUAUGCAGCAGGGAGCUUACUCCUGCUUGGGUAGAUGAGUUGCUUUUGGACACUUCUUUCACCAUCUCUAUGAUUUAAUAUGUUUAAGGGAUGGAACAGUAAUGCAAGGACUUGAGUUGCAGCUGGAAGGUAUCAAAAAAGCCAGGAUUCACCAUACUUGCAGUAUAAGAACAGCAGGGCAGGUUCCUUCUGCCUCUGCUGGCCCAAAUCCAGAAUAUCUUUAAGAGAAUGAGAGAACAAAAGCUGGAAAGCAUUUAGCGAAGUGUUGAUAGCACUCACCUAUCCCACUGUUCUGUGUGUAUGUAUAUUUUUGUAUGUAAACACACAAAUAUAUAUAUAUAUAUAUAUAUAUAUAAAUACACAGAUACAUAUUCCUUCCUAGGGGUAUGCACGUGUAAUGCUUGUGUUAUCUACGCAUACCAGCACUGACUAAACUUUAUACAGAGGGAGAAUGCACAGCAGAAUCUAACACUGGAAAAGUUUUUCUUCAGUGUAUUUACACGCCUAGUCUCAGGCAGGAUGUGGUCUGUCAUUGCAGAGGCCACAGCACAAGGUGAGACUUUGCAAAAUGUAAUACAAGCUAUUAAUGCUAGUUGGUCUGCAAAAUUCAUACCUAGCCCUCAGAUGGGAGGAUGUUAGGAUUGAGAGGGGAUUUUCUUCAAGAACUAGACUGGUUGUUUCUGGAACUCUGAGACAAAAGACACUGAGUUGGACACAUGAGGACAAACAGGCAAGGAACACAGAUAAGACUGAGAACAAUACUACAUCGUAUUGGUUACAAUACAAACAAAAAAAAGAUGUAAAACAUGCUAACACAGUUGUGAUAAUUGAGCAGUUUCAGUCUGACAGCCUUAAGCAGAGGCUUGUUCCUCUGACAACUGUGUCUUGAAUCAUGAAUUAAAUGCCUGAACAGUGAUGUUACAGAUGAAUACAACUGCUACCAUCAAAAUCAGUCUUCUGCAGGAAAAUCUGUAUCUGCUAGAUGCAUCACAGCACAGGUGUCAUGGCAAAUAGCAGGUGAUGGCAUGACAGCUAGCAGUGCAAAUGCUUUGGGCUUGUUAACUUCUGAGUUCAUGAC